rnacentral:misc_RNA from 1 species
CCCGCGCAUGACAUUCAAUAUGCGUUUGAAGGCGUUACUGCCCCGCCGCCUGCCCGCUUUCCCAGCCGAGCAUCGCGCGCUUGCGCGUGAUGCCCCAGUGAUAACCGGUGAGAGCGCCGCUUUUGCCGAUCACGCGGUGACACGGCACCACGAAUGAGAUCGGAUUCCGGCCGACGGCCGCACCGACCGCGCGCGACGCCUUCGGCUUUGCGAUCUUGCAGGCGACAUCCCCGUAGGUCGUGGCGCGGCCCAUCGGAAUCUUNNNGAAGUCGGUGCCGAUCAGCACCACGCGCAGCGGCUGGUCUUCGCGCCAUUGCGAGGAAUCG